rnacentral:rRNA from 1 species
UACAGAGGUCUCAAGCGUUGUUCGGAUUCAUUGGGCGUAAAGGGUGCGUAGGCGGCGCGGUAAGUCGGGUGUGAAAUCUUGGAGCUUAACUCCGAAACUGCAUUCGAUACUGCCGUGCUUGAGGACUGGAGAGGAGACUGGAAUUUACGGUGUAGCGGUGAAAUGCGUAGAUAUCGUAAGGAACACCGGUGGCGAAGGCGGGUCUCUGGGCCGUUACUGACGCUGAGGAGCGAAAGCGUGGGGAGCGAACAGG